rnacentral:lncRNA from 1 species
AUUUCUUGGGCCGCUCCCAUGGCAUAUGGAGGUUCCCAGGCUAGGGGUCCAAUCGGAGCUGUAGUCGCCCGCCUACGCCAGAGCCACAGCAACGCGAGAUCCGAGCCGCGUCUGCAGCCUACACCACAGCUCACGGCAACGCCGGAACGUUAACCCACUGAGCAAGCGCAGAGACCGAACCCGCAGCCUCAUGGCUCCUAGUCGGAUUCGUUAACCACUGCGCCACCACGGGAACUCCCUCAUUUAUGAAAUCUCUCAAAUUAUUUAAUUUUAAGAUAAAAAAAAAUGCCAGCUUCUAUUUAUUGAGCAUUUUGUCUGUGCCAGGAAAAAUGGAAAGUGAAUAUAAAUAUUUUAAGAUUGUCAAGGAAACUAUUAACACUUGAAUAGGUUAAUAUACUCAAUGGCACACAAAUAGGCAACAGCAAAGGGGUGGCAAAUCAAGACUACUGGGUUGAAAGUGGAACAAGAAACUAAGGAGCUGUCAUAUCUUAUCAUAACCCAAUAAAUAAAUAAAUACCAUUAAAAAAAAAGACUGUUGGGCUGCAAAACCCAUGCUGCUACUAGACCCCAAGAUGAAAGAGCUGAGAGACCUCAAAUUACAGUGUUGUUUUUUAAAUGUUCGAAUAAGUGCCACAGAACAGUUUCUUAUGCUAUAAGACAUAGUGAAGGUUAAAUGAAGGAAUGUGAGAGGGACCAUGCCAGUCAGCCUCACCUACCUGGCACGUGCAGGUUUCCUGUACUUGAGUUCCUUUCCUUCCUCAGAAUGAGUAGCUGGUGCUGAUAAGGGCCUCAUCAUGCCUGCCUUUUCUUCCUUCUAUGCUUGGGGCUAUUGUAUACUUGCCAUACUUCUAGAAGUGCCCACGUUACUGAAUUCUGGACAAGGGAAUAUGAGCGGAUGUGAUAUAUGCCACUUUCAGAAAAGCUCAUCCAAAUCUCCUGCAUGCAAUCUUCCAAUUCAGCGGACCAGUGGAAAUGCCUUGACAAUCACUUUUAGAAGACGGUAGAGUCACAAGAGAGAAGCAGCUGGGGUCGGUGAGCUACGAUUUGGAGGAAAGGUAUUUAAUUGGGUAAACUUUGGUAUAGAGACAAGCAGGAAGAUAAACUUCUAUUUGGUUAAAACCACUGAAAUUUUUGAGAUCACCUCUCACAGGAACUGGCCUGUUGUGUUAAGUUAUGGAUGUCUACUGAUUGAAAAUAAUCCAAAAACCCUUGAAAAGUUUUGAACACCAAAGCAGAAACAAAACACCUGGCUUGCACACUAACUAAAAACCAAAGUCCUAAAAUUGCUUAAUGCACACAGAAUUAUUUGAAAUUCUGUCCAAAGUACAUGAAAAUUUAUUUCAGAAAUGAAUUACAAGUCUCUGAUUAGUGGUUUAUCAAAAUUUUCAAAAAUUUGGAAGACUUCAAAGUUAUCUAUUUAAUUUUGAUCAUUUUAUCAAAUUAUUACUUUCUUCAAUAAUACACUUUUCUCUAACCCUUGAAUUAAUAACAGUUGAAGUGCUAUAAUUAUAAUUAUCUAACAUUAAUAUGCUAAUUUCUUCAGAGAUUAUACUCAGUUGAAACACUUAAGGUUUUAACCACUGCAGAUUUAAUUAGGUUAAUUAAAAUACUAUUGUGUUUUAUUUUUACUUUACAAUUGCUCCAUUAUCACUUAAUGAUUUUGAGAAUUAUAAUAGAAUUUAUUAUUUAUUGAGCAUACUUCUUUCCUUAAAAUAUUAGUUUUAAGGUUAAGUUCAUUAAAAAAUUAAUCAGCUGCCUACCUACUGCAAUUUUGCCUAUGUUUUCUUUAGUUUAAUAAAUUCUACCCUAUAAACUAAUGCCGAUUUAUUCUUCCAGUCAUGACCUGCAUUAAACACUAACAAAACCACUUUAGCUAAAAGGUGUUUACUUGUACUUUGCAUGUGCUUUGCUGAAUGCUAACCUAGGACUUCAAACCAAGCAGUAUGCCAUGUCUGGGAAACUUUUGACUCUAAAAAGGAAAGCCACAGUAGUCUUGAAUGUCAGUUUAUAAAGAAUGUAUAGAUUUCAAGACUCUUAAUGACCUGGGGUCAUGCAAUAUGUAUUUAUAUAUGACUGAGAGAGAGUCAAAGAGGAAAGAAGAAAGAAAAGAGGAAGAGAUAGGAAGUGAGAGAGCAAAAUGCAAGGAUUUAAAUAUGGCAGAUUCUUCAACACAGCAUUCUACCCAUUAGGUGAAUGACCAAGAGUAAGUGAACAAGAGAAAAGGAGGUGACUCUGCUGCUUGCCCAUGUCACGUCACAAUCUGUUGCUUCACAUAUGUGACAUGACAUGGGCGAGCAGCAAGUCAUCUUUCAGUCCUGAGUAUGUUUCUUUUCUUUUCCUUUUUUUUUUUUUUUGUCGUUUUGCCAUUUCUUGGGCCGCUCCUGCGGCAUAUGGAGUUUCCCGGCUAGGGGUCUAAUUGGAGCUGUAGCUGCUGGCCUAUGCCAGAGCCACAGCAAUGUGGGAUCCGAGCCACGUCUGCAACCUACCCCACAGCUCACAGCAAUGCCAGAUCCUUAACCCACUGAGCAAGGGCAGGGAUCGAACCCACAACCUCAUGGUUCCUAGUCAGAUUCGUUAACCACUGAGCCAUGACGGGAACUCGAUUCUGUCUUUAAUCAUAUGUACUUUCCCUACCUCUUGGCACCCAAGGAUAAGCCAAUGACCUCACAUUGUAUUCAACCAAAGAAACAGUGACCUUUCUCCAGCAUGGAGAUGAUAUAUCCCACAGUGGAUUAAUUCAGAGGCAGUCCCUCAGUAAUGUUGCACCUUGUUAAAGUACCUUGCACUGACUUGAGAAUACUACUGUUUUGCAUAUUGCAGGUGCUCAAAAACAUCUGUAGAAAUGACUUAAUGAGUC